GGGCUGUUCAAAGGGAGCGGAAGUUAACCAAAGCCGCGCGCUGCGGUUAUUUAUCCGUGCCAGGGCUUUUAUCUCGCCUUCGGGAUCCAGGUAUAUCAACAGAAAGCUGGGUUCCUCAACACAAUCAGAUAAAACCUAACAGACAUUUUGGAACAUACAGUCAAGAGAAAAAUGAGAAACUUUGGAAACACGAUGCUCUACAAAAGAAACAUUGUUCAUUCCAAAGCCACAAGAUGACAACUCCAACUCGUAGAUCAAAAAAUCUAUCCAGCAGACCUCUGUCAGAUGACAAAACCACCGUCCUCUCACAACCUCAAUUUCAACCACAAAUAUGCAGACCCUGUUGAUUUCCUAGCCAACUUUGAAUCCAUACUGAAAACAAACAAUCUCAGUCACGAGACACAAGAGGACAUCAGGCAGAGAAUAGUCUCCAACAUCCAAUGAAGCAAACACAAUGAAACAUUAAACCAGAAGGAGAGGAAGGUGUUAAAGGAACUGUGACAAAAUGAAAACAUUGUCAUCUUCUGGCAGACAAAGGCAGACUGACUGUGAUAAUGGACAAAACUGAUUAUAUCAAUAAAGCUGAAGAUCUGCUGAAUGACAGCAAUAAUCAACAUCCAGAUAGUCAACAACAAUCCAAUGCACAUCACCCAAAUCAUGACAUUCUACAUAACCAGCCGCAAUAUGGAAACAAACUUUUCCAUACAUCAAAGAAAUGUCAGAAAUGGCGGUCAGAGUUCUACCAUCACUGGGAAUAAUGAUGGCUCACAAACCGAUAUAAACACUCCAACAAGAGCUGUCCAGAACCAAGGACGAAAUAUUGAAGGAAAAAAAACAGCAACGUUGUCUACAAGCUCAAAUGCAACAACUGUGACCAAUUCUGUGUCGGCAAAUAAGGUGACAACAAAAAACAAGAAUCCACAAGCACUGACUAGCAAUCAACCGGCAUGACCACAAAUCUCUGCUCUUGACCCAUACUGGCAUUGAGGAACACCAGUUCAACUGGGACAGAACAAAAAUCAUUGGCCAUGUCACCACAAGCCAUGCAUGCAAAUUCAUCAAAGUCUGGUAUUCAAUGAACAGGUCAAUCAACAAACAUAUCAAUCUGGAACCAGCCGAAGAGCCCAUAUAAGGAGCUGGAUCAAUCGGAUGACCAACCAACGACAACACCGGCAACUUCCUCACCUGGUGACUUUCACACUAUGUGACCAACUGACCAUGUCACCACUUACGAUAGAUAAAAGCAGAAGGAAACUAAAACGAAGCUUCAACCGAAGUCCUGUUGAAGAUGUUUGUUGCCUAGCCUUGUCACAAAACAUUCAGAAGCCAAAAAGCAAGCUCAAAGAACAAACCACCGCACACAUUUACCACCCGAAUUAAAAAUAUUUUCCAUCAUUUCCAAAACAGGUAUUUUUUCAAAAUCUGCUGGGUUUUUGAUAUAAUAAAUAAUAUACUUUUUCUCACACCAGUUUUUUUUAUUUUCUACCUGUUCCAAAAUACAUAAAAAUCUGUAGGCAUGAUAUCAAGAAAUCUGGCAUCUCAAAUUGAAACAUGUUUUAACUGGCACUGUAUCUUUUCCACAGAGAAAAUUUGUGAGAAAUUUAUUAUGUUAAUAUUUGGGUAUUUACAAUAAUUGACUGUUAUACCCUCAAAUUAAGACUCUCAAGGCAGCAUACACAAAUAAUGCAAUUAUAAAUACAGAUAAAAGUAUUUUUAAAAUGACAAUUAGAGCUUCUAAAAGAUAUCUCAUUGCUAUACAUUUCUUUGUACUUUUGUUUGGUGGGUGCUGAGAAAGGGAUUAUAGAAGACUAAAGGCAGCUGUCACUAGAUUUAGGACAUCUCUAUCUCAGUUCCUUUGGUAAAGAUUUGGGCAAUUUUGGGUGACCAAUAAUCAAGGAGUCUGAGAAUAUAAAAAGAGCAUAGCCACCUCAAAUAACUUGGUUGAGACAGUUAGGAUUUUGCUUUAUUUUUAAUUUUAGGCCUUGUAUUACUGUUUUUAUCUAUUUCUUAAUCCAAAUUUGGAGAAAACUGAUGUGGAUUUCAGCAAUUGUAGUUUGUGGAGGCUGCAAGGACCACAAAAAUGGGACUUGGGAAUUUCUUGGGCGCUGGGGCCAUAGGAUUUCUAUUUGAUUUAGCAUAUGGUGGCUGCAUGUCUAUUACACUAAUUGGUGACUGGAGCAUCAGGCUUGCAUCUACUACUGCCCUAUUAUAUGUUUGUUUGUUUGUUUGUUUGUUUGUAUGUAUGCAUAUAUCCCAACUUUAUUAUUUUUACAAAUCUUCAAGGCAGCAAAUACAUCCAGCAUGCCUUCCUCCUCCUGUUUUCUCCACAACAGCCCUCUGAGUGGGUUGGACUGAAAGAGAAUGACUGGCCCAAGGUCACCCAGUUGCUUUUCAUUGCUAAGGGGGGACUUGAACUCACUGUCCCCUACUUUCUAGGCCAAGAGUAUCAAACUGGUGGCCACUUGGGCUAGAUGCAUCACAUGCAGGCCAAGCUCACCCCAACUCCAGGAAUGGGAAAAACAUCGCAAAACAUCACAUGAAGGUAAGGUGACACAGCAAGUUUGACACUGGUGUUCUGGCCUGAUGUUUUAUUCUUUAGACAAUAUGUAGUGCAGGAGUAGGUAACGAAGGUAGGGAGCUUCUGCCAGGGCAGGUCACUUUCCCAUUGGCUUUCAUAAUGGUUUGCCCACCCACAUAGCGCUAUGAACAAGAGCAUAGUUGGAAGGUUGUCUUGUAGGUCUUCUAGCCCAAUCCCCUGCUCAGCAGGUGACCCCGUACCAUUCUGGCAAGUGGUUGUCCAGUCUCGUCUUAACAUUGAAGGCAAGACAUUCCACUGAUUAAUUGUUCUCAUUGUCAGGAAAUGUUUCCUUAUUUCUAGGUUAGUUUUCUCCUUGCUUAGUUUCCAUCAAUUGUUUCUUGUCUUGCUUUCUGGUGCUGUGGAAAAUAGGUUGAUCCCCUCUUCUUUGUGGCAGCCUCUCGAAUAUUGCAAGACUGCUAUAUCAUAUCACCUUUAGUUUUUCUUUUCACUAGAUUAGACAUAUCCAAUUCCUGCAACAGUUCUUCAUAUGUUUUAGUCUCCAGGCCCUUCAUCUUUAAAGCUUAGUCUCUUUUUUAUGUAAGUAAGUCUCUUCUGGGAUCAGGAGGAAGCCCUUGCAAGUAUUUUUUUUCAUACAUUGUCUCUCUCACAUCAAAAUUCAAAAAGAGCUCAAAUAGAGAAUUAUCCAUAAGGACCAGGUAUGGAUUGGGCCAGCUGUUAAACAGAUGUUUUGGACCACUUUUGUGAGAAACAGCUGGCGUGAAUGAAAUCAUUUCCAGUGUCUAGCACUAAGCUGAGUGCAGAAUCCUGCAUCCAUUAUUUUGUUUCUCUGCUUUUUGGCUGAACAUAUUGCUGCAGCUAAGAGAAAAAAGCCAGGAAUGAGAUAGUAUUUUUUAAAAUCCUCCUGCAGCUUUCAUAACACCCGAGGUCUUAAGGCCUUUCUUAACAAAGAUUCUGCUUGGAACACAUCAACUCCGUGCUCAAGGUGGUCUCCAUGGCAACAAAGAUAACUUGGAGGCCUGGGCAACAAGAGAGCCCUGGAGGUAGUUCAAGGCAAAAGCUGGACUCCAUUCUUCACACUCAGAUGCUGUUUGCCGUGUGUGCGCGCGCGUGUGUGUGCAAGGGUGUAGCAGAGUCACAGCUUAUUUGAUGAAAAAAGCAGCAAUAAUAUUGGAUGGAAAUAUUGCAAGGUAGACAGUGUGCCUUCAAAGAAGUGUUUAAUGUUGUGGGCUAUUCAGGCUUCAGAAUUUCACUUAUUUCCAUCUCUGGUGGUACUAGGCCCAAAAAACAAUCAAGGAAUUGAGCUUUUAUAUGAUCACUGCUGGAAAAUGUGAAACGUUCAUUUGCCUUAUUUACUGGUUAGAGAGAAAGAUGCCAGUGCCAAAUACAAUUCCUUGUGGUAGAAUGUAAAGUGUUAUAAUUUCUCACAGAGGGAAUUUGCAACAUGCUUUCCCCUUCCAUACCAUGCCAAAUGAGAAUAGAAAUGGCCUUGAUAACAUAGGAACUGCUGACAUAAUCAACAUUAUUUUAACAAUAAUGUUAAAAUCUUGACUUUUUAUACACAAGGACAUGAUUUGGGCCCUCCUCACAAAAUGGAAAGAGGAGAGACCUUUUUGUGAAUAGACGUGUUGCUCAUUUGAAUGUGCUAAUCUGAGGUUCUCUUACGCGAUGACACUUGUACUUGUUUUUGAGAAGCUUAUUUGUACAGAAUUCUCCUGCUUCCUGUUCUGUAUUUUCAGCUUUUGGUACAAGAAGUAGUUGUGACUUCAAAUGGAGUUUUGGAAAUGUAAAAAGACUUCUUCACAAUUGGAUAACUGCUUUCCUGUCAAACAGACAACAAGAGGUCAAAAUUGACAAUGCUCUAUCAAAUCCGGUUCCUGUCAAAAGUGGCGUUCCUCAAGGCAGCGUUCUUGAACCAAUGCUCUUCAUACUAUACAUAAAUGAUCUCUGUGACCUUAUCUCAAGUUAUUGUGUUCUCUUUGCUGAUGAUGUCAAACUAUUUAACACCACCAACAAUACUAGUACCCUUCAAAAAGACCUUGACUUUGUAUCCGAUUGGUCUAAAACUUGGCAACUCCAAAUCUCAACCAGCAAAUGCUCAGUCUUACAUUUUGGAAAAAAGAACCCAAACACUAAGUUCAAGCUUGAUGGACAUUACCUUACAGAUGACUCCCACCCUGUUAAAGACCUUGGAGUUUUCAUAUCAAAUGAUCUAAGUGCCAAAGCCCACUGCAACUACAUAGCAAAAAAGGCUCUAAGAGUUGUAAACCUAAUUUUGCAUAGCUUCUUUUCCAAAAACUCUACACUACUAACCAGAGCAUACAAAACAUUUGCUAGACCUAUUCUUGAAUACAGCUCACCUGUCUGGAACUCAUACCACAUCUCUGACAUUAAUACAAUUGAAUGUGUCCAGAAAUAUUUUACAAGAAGAGUUCUCCGCUCCUCUGAA